UUGCAGCUCCUAUACGCCUAGACCAGCGUUUAUUUUAUUCUUAGUUUUAUCCACAAACUUGCUUUAUACAGAACUAUUCUAAAGUAAACACUAGCUGAUACUAUAUACUAAUUUAAUCUUAAUUAGACGAUUUUCCAUUAGGGCCUUCUUAUCUACUAUCUAGGAACGGACCUUCGCUUCUCGAAACCCAUUUCAUCCCGUACAAUCGAAGUGUCCAACAUCCGAGUU